rnacentral:rRNA from 1 species
GACGAACGCUGGCGGCGUGCCUAAUACAUGCAAGUUGAGCGAUGAAGAUUGGUGCUUGCACCAAUUUGAAGAGCAGCGAACGUGUGAGUAACGCGUGGGGAAUCUGCCUUUGAGCGGGGGACAACAUUUGGAAACGAAUGCUAAUACCGCAUAACAACUUUAAACAUACGUUUUAAGUUUGAAAGAUGCAAUUGCAUCACUCAAAGAUGAUCCCGCGUUGUAUUAGCUAGUUGGUGAGGUAAAGGCUCACCAAGGCGAUGAUCCAUAGCCGACCUGAGAGGGGGAACUGCGCCACUGAGACUGCGACAACGCCCAAAAUCCUGCGGGAGGGAGCAGUAGGGAACCUUCGGCAAUGGAACAAACUCUGACCGUGGGACGCCGCGUUAGAGAAGAACGCUGUCGGAUCGGGAAGCUCUGUUGGGAGAGAGGAGGGUGGGUGUGGGUGUAAAGCGCAGCAAGUGACGGGAAAUACUCAGAGAUGGAGGUCUAACUACAUG